AGUGAUAAUUUAUAUAUGGACCUAUAGAGGUUGCCUAGGAAAAGUCUCGAUCUUUAUGGAUUGCUCUUCCUCUCUAGGUAUUCACCGUUCCUGUAUUAUGUAUAUAAAUCAUUAAUAAUCGUCGAUUGAAGUUUACAAUUUAAACUAUUGUUUCCGAUCAAGGCUAUAAAAUAUCGUUUCAGCUAUAGAAGGACAACAACAUGCUGGUGGUACAUUGAAUGUUCGUCUGUGUACAUUGAAUGUUCGGUCAUAUUUAUAAAAAUCUCCAUGCCACAUAAAUUCAAUAAAAUCAUUAAACACAAAGCAUAAUGGGCAAUAUUCACCGAGACAGAUCUACAGCA